AUCCUAAACAGAAACUCGGAAGUAAAUUAUCAAAUUCCAUAAAUGUUACUUUAGAGAACCCGAACUCCUAGUAUGUCGUUUGUGAUCCUUCUUCCUUCACAACAAUUUCCUCAAUUAAAAUAUGUUAUUGUGAAUAGUAACUACCAUGUCAAUCUAAAGCUUCUCUCCCGCUCUCAAAUUUCUCUCACUCUGUGACCUCCGUCUCCAUGAUUCCUCUGCAAGUCCACCACCUCCCUCCACCUUUCCUCAUUUCCCAAACUACCCCUCUCCACUCACUCUCUCCCACCUCUCAAACUGUCAAAUUUUCCCCCAAGCCGAACCCCUAUUCGUCUUCCCCAAUUUUGCUAUCCAACCCCCCCCUGCAAAUUUCUCAGGGCAGCAGGAAUCCAAACGUCGUCGCUUUGUUGAAAUGAGGAAGAAAGCACCGAAAUUUCCACCGAGCUCGAAGACUUGUCGCCGGACGGCGUCGUUUAUAAGAAGACGUUAACGUUGGUGGAGUGCUCCGUGUUUGCUGCUCUCACUGGCUUGGUGUACUUCCUCAGCAAUUCUCUCGCAAUUGAGGAUUACUUUGGCUGCUUCUUCUCGCUGCCGAUAGUGAUCACCGCAAUGACCCGCCAUGUUUAAACUUAAGAGAUUGAUGUGGCGUUUUCAUUACAUAAUUGCCAUUGUUUUCUGAUCGUGCUAGGUUGCAACAACUAUGCUAUUGCUAGACUUGUCUGGUCCGGUGAAAGCCUUAAGCUAUUUGCUUAACCACGGUUUAGUUGGUUUUACGAUGGGAAGUUUAUGGAGGUAUGAAGUGAUUCAAAUUAGUUUACGCAGUGGCUACGGAUUACUUUUUUGACAUCACAGUUUUAUGGUUCGAUCACUGGGUGCUGUAGGGAAUGUCUUGAUAUCGUCGUUCUUGAUAAGUGAAAACAUACUUGCUUUGAUCACUAUAAACAUUCAUGCUUCUCUAACAUUCAUAUUUACUGCAUCGGGCAUCUAUUCAGUCCCGUCAAUGGAAGCGAUUUAUGCCUGAUUUGGUUAUCAGGUAUCUCUCUCUCGCUCUGCCUCUUGCAUAUGCACUCUUUAUAUCCUAAAGUAUUAAGGCUUUAUAUUUGUAACAUGUAUUGAUUAAUAGCGGAUCCUUCAUGUUCUUGCUCUACCUACUGUAUUCGGUGUUCCUUACUAGGCUCGGGAUGAAAGCAUCAUUACGAUUGCCAAGAUGGCUGGAGAAGGCUAUAUAAUUUGACUUCCUCUAACUAAGAACCGCAACUGUGGUUUCAUUUCUGUAAGUAAGAACGUCGCGCAGAUUCAGUAUCAUGUAUUGUCACAUUAGUCGUCAUUGUUUGCUUACAUUCCUUGUCAUGUAUACAUAAAACUACAUUUUGGAUCGAAAACAGGCAAAUGUUCUAUUUAUCGAAACAAUACAUGAACCGAGAAUAAAAGGUACCCUGAAGUUGACACCAGCAUCA